GAAAAGCCAGCCGAGGACAAGGAUCACGCGCGUUGAGUACGUGCCUUGCAUCCGGAGGCGCGCUGCGUUCCGUUCGCCAUUGCCUGAUUAACUCGACGUCAUUUAUCAGAUUAAAUGGAUAAUGCUGGUUAGCGUCUGACGUAACGCCGCACUCCCAAGAACCGCCGUUUCUCAAAGAUUCUUUAUUAUCUUACUGGUCUGCCUAUGGACACACCAACGUUACGCAAUCGAACAAGCCGCUGAAAUUGGAUGCGAACAAUCGGUCGUGUUAACGAGUUCAUUGUGUUUCUGUCCAAAACGCGAUACUAGCCGGGUGGCCCUGCUGUUAUGUAACCUAGCUAUAGCUAUCCAUCGAGUUUAAUAAACGAAGGAAGAAAAUGAAAUUUAGGAUAAAGAUGAAUUUCUUAGAAACACGCUAUAAAAUUUUAUGACACUAUCGUCAUUGUAGAUAUUGAACACUUGUAAUUGUUUGUACACCAGGUAAAAUCGAGUAUAAUACAGUGCCACAGCGAAGCAUGAUAAACUCUCACAUGGCACAUCCAAAAGGUCGACUUCAACGACGAAAUCACAGUCAUCUCGCUGCGAACGCACAGUUUAACCGGUAAUUAGAGUUUACGGCAGCCACGUUGAUUAGGUCGUUAAAGAAACUAUUACGCCGACUAAAUACAGUCUAGGCACUCCCACUAGUCUCCGCUGAAUUGCAAUUUGAUGCAGUAGAUAAAAAAUAAAAAAUGAAGAAUUGGAGGAAUAUGCAUCUUUUAUUCAUAAAAAACAAACUAAGAUCUUUAAAUAUUAUUAAAUUUUCUACAAUUCCAAUUAACGAAUGAAGGAAAUUAAAUGUUUACAGAAUUAUAAAUUCUUUGUAAAAAUUUAAUAUCCUUAAAAUACUUGAAGAUACUCUAUAUAGCAACAUUAUCAACAAUGUUCAACUAAAUAAUAACUUUAAAGUGAAAUUCUUCAUGCAAACAGUUUAACGAGACAAUGGUUUAGACGCUUGAGUACACAUUGCAUUUGUAUAACGAGUUUAUUCUCAAAGACUCUUUAUUUCACCAAGGUUAUAAAAUUACACUACGCAGCUUUUGACAACUACCGCAUCUCUAUCUCUUUGUGAAUUUUUAAUGAUCUUUUCAAACAUGACAUAUUCACGCUACUGAAAUCCUAAGAUAGAAAACGGCGAGUUCUUGCAAUUAAAAAAAACACGAGAAUUAUAUGAUGUAUCUUUCUUGAUUAUUUCCCAUUUCUUUUUUCUUUUGGUACCAAUUUUAUAUUUAGUACGUUAUAGUUCUACUAUUAAUGGAAAUUUCAGUUAAAGCAAUCAACCUCAUCUCUUUCACAUAACAAGAAUGACAACGGUUUCUGAUCAACCUAAUUGCAAUUAAAACAACAAAGACGUAUCUUUUCUGGGAAAUUUUGCAUCGUUUCGUAUGAAAGAUGAGACAAUCGAGAAACAUAUACCUAUAUUACACGAAUGGUACGAGUUUCGUUUGUUAAAAAUAAAACUGUGGCACAUAUGCACGAUUCUUGGAUACAAAGAGGAAAUUAUUAGGUUUGUCAACGAUCUGCUUGAGUUGUCCGAGUAAAUUGCUCGAAUUACCUCAGCACCCGGCAAUGGAAGGUGACCUACUGUCAGAAAUAAUCUCUCCAAAGGAUUGUGCAACUUGGAACUUUAGAAUUUUCCUCCUUCUACCAUUCGCUUCUCUUUUGAAGGGACCCAAUUACCAAGGUGAUAUAGGCGAUCUUGCAUUAGGAAUUCGCCGUCCUUUAAGAAGAUUGAAAAUCGUUCUUGAUAACAGCUUAAUAGUCAGCUCAUAGCCCGUUUUGACUCUGUGAUCGACAUAAUGAAGCGAUCUAACAUGGAAAUUUGCGAAAUGGUCAACCUAAUUUCAGCAGAAUAGAAUGUAUUAUUAACUUGAAACGCAUUCUUUUGUGUUUCGUCAUAUUUUUUCUCGUAGGAAUGACAUUAUUUGCAGAAAUAAUAGUUUUCGAGGAAGUAUAAAUCACAUUUUGUACCUUUUGUGGAUGAGCAAUUUUAAAAUUCAGUUUGUUGCCAACCAAUUUUAUUGUAUUAUUAAAUAUGUAUUAUCGUAUUAUGUAUUAUUCUCUGUAUUUCAUUAAAAUUGCAUUUUUAUUUGGUUCCGUUCAUUUAAUAUGUUCUUUUGCACAUAACCCAAUACGUCAAAAAUAUCGAAUUGCAACAUUAAUUAAUUAAUUGAUUAACUUUGUGAAUAAUAACAUCUAUAUUUAAAAAUCAUAAAUCCUGCGAGAUUAUAGAUUUUCUUGUUUAAAUAUGCAGCACCAGAGUACUCUCUUUUAAUCACCAAUUAAAUAUCGAAAUCAGAAGAUCUACAAAAACGAUCUUUAUUUACCAGGAGACAGUAAACAGAAUAUUAUUAGGAUAUUGCUAAAUUAUUAUUAAUAUAGGAAAAUGAUUGUCAUAUGACUGUUGCGUAGAUCGUACCUACUGCAAGUACUUUGAGAUCCUACUGUCUGACUAUUACCAUACAUGAUCUACUUUGUUGCUUCUUAGCACAGAAGAAAUUAUUUAAUGAAAUUAUCUAACAGAUAAUAAUUAUUUAAUACGCAGUAAGACUAUCAAACUGUGAUUUCAAGAACAUAAAAUAUUGGAAACACCUUUCCUAAUUAUACGUACUCUAACUCUAAUAAUAUUGUUUUACUGAUGCAAGUUAUAAGGCAACAUAAUUCUAGGUUUCUUUUCUCGAUUUUGAAUUUAUAUGAAAUACU